ACGUAGCUGCCCUGAACUGAGAGCAGCGUUGGCCGGGGGCUAGGGAGCCGGGCUGUUCCACGCUCACUGUGCGCCUCGGGCGGCGGGGCUCGGGCUCUGUCCGAGGUGCUGAACUCCGGGGCUCCGGCCGCGCCGGCAGAGUGUGCCAGCGUCCAUUAUUGCCAGUGUCUGUGGGCAUCUUCCAGAAGGCCGAGCAUGGGGGUCAGGUGAAACCAGGGCGUUCCUCACAGGUUUCUGCAAAAACUGACGACCUUUCUUCCCCUUCAGUCCCUGCAAAAAUCCAGACACCUAUCACCCAGCCCCGCUCCGCAACCAUUUCCUACAAGAAUCCAGGCCCCUACGCAUCUCAUCCCCACGCGUCAAUGCAAAAAUAAAAAAUGUUAAAUCCGCCUUCCA
rnacentral:lncRNA from 1 species